rnacentral:rRNA from 1 species
AACGAACGCUGGCGGCAUGCCUAACACAUGCAAGUCGAACGAGAUCUUCGGGUCUAGUGGCGCACGGGUGCGUAACGCGCGGGAAUCUGCCCUUUGGUUCGGAAUAACAGUUGGAAAUGACUGCUAAGACCGGAUGAUGACGAAAGUCCAAAGAUUUAUCGCCAGAGGAUGAGCCCGCGUAGGAGUAGCUAGUUGGUGUGGUAAAGGCGCACCAAGGCGACGAUCCUUAGCUGGUCUGAGAGAAUGAUCAGCCACACUGGGACUGAGACACGGCCCAGUCUCCUACGGGAGGCAGCAGUGGGGAAUAUUGGACAAUGGGCGAAAGCCUGAUCCAGCAAUGCCGCGUGAGUGAUGAAGGCCUUAGGGUUGUAAAGCUCUGUUGUAAGGGAAAAAGUUCUGAUUGUACCUUACGAGAAAGGAUCGGCUAACUUCGUGCCAGCAGCCGCCGUAA